rfam:Hepacivirus hominis isolate 14DH42, complete genome
CCACUGCGUGGCGCGGCUACCCUUGACUUGUCAGGGUGGUUUACGUCAGGCUACAGCGGGGGGGACAUUUAUCACAGCGUGUCCCGGGCUCGACCCCGCAUGUUACUCCUGUGCCUACUCCUACUCUCCGUAGGGGUAGGCAUCUUCCUGCUCCCUGCCCGAUAGGCAGGGAGCCUA